CCUGGCGACCAUAGCGAGCGGGAACCACCCGAUCCGAUGCCGAACUCGGCAGUGAAACCGCUCAGCGCCGAUGGUAGUGCGACCACGCUGUCGUGCGAGAGUAGGUCAUCGCCAGGC
rnacentral:rRNA from 11 species